CACCUCUCCUCACGCAGCCUGGGAACACACAGGUUAAACACACACCUCUCCUCACGCAGCCUGGGAACACACACCUCUCCUCACGCAGCCUGGGAACACACAGGUUAAACACACACCUCUCCUCACGCAGCCUGGGAACACACAGGUUAAACACACAGGUUAAACACACACCUCUCCUCACGCAGCCUGGGAACACACAGGUUAAACACACAGGUUAAACACACAGCUCUCCUCACGCAGCCUGGGAACACACAGGUUAAACACACAGCUCUCCUCACGCAGCCUGGGAACACACAGGUUAAACACACACCUCUCCUCACGCAGCCUGGGAACACACAGGUUAAACACACAGGUUAAACACACACCUCUCCUCACGCAGCCUGGGAACACACAGGUUAAACACACAGGUUAAACACACAGCUCUCCUCACGCAGCCUGGGAACACACAGGUUAAACACACACCUCUCCUCACGCAGCCUGGGAACACACACCUCUCCUCACGCAGCCUGGGAACACACA